UAAAUAAGGCUUUAUGACUGCUGAAUACCAACUAUCAAUCACUUAGAUCAUGUAUUUACAGGUAGAGAGAUACCUGAUGAAGAUACUGCUCUCCAUCCCUCUGUCUCUGUCUGCCCCACACAGACCGGACAAGUAGGAUAUUACUGCACUGUUGGAGCUAGGAACACAAGCAUUUCGCUCCACCCGCAAUAACAUCUGCUAAAUAUGUGUAUGUGACCAGUAAAAUUAGAUUUGAUUUGAUUAUGGUCAUUGUAGUUAAUUAGUACGUUUUCUCGGCUAAACUAUGUAGAAUAUUGGCCUAUUGAAAACUACAUCUCCCUACUACAUCGUACAGUUCAGGCUGGAUCUGAUGUAUCUCUAGAGAAACUACAUCUCCCUAAUACAUCGUACAGUUCAGGCUGGAUAUGAUUUAUCUCUAGAGAAACUACAUCUCCCUACUACAUCGUACAGUUCAAAGCUGGAUAUGAUUUAUCUCUAGAGAAACUACAUCUCCCUACUACAUCGUACAGUUCAGGCUGGAUAUGAUGUAUCUCUAGAGAAACUGUGAAAUGUGGCAUUGAGCUCAUAGAACAAUUAUAAGAAAAUGGAAUUUAAAUCAUUUAAAACUUAAAAGUAACCAAAAUGUUGGUUAAUCGCUCAGCACUAUCAAGACCAUACUGCAGUGCGUUUUUCCCCAUUCUGCCACUCAAAUGCUGCAGCAGUUAUAUUGUCUGUUGGUCUGUCUGUCUAUCUGGUCUGUCAGUCUGUCUAGUCUGUCUGUCUGUCUGUCUGUCUGUCUGUCUGUCUGUCUGUCUGUCUGUCUGUCUGUCUGUCUGUCUGUCUGUCUGUCUGUCUGUCUGUCUGUCAGGUCUGCAUGUCUGUAUGUCAUUCUGUCUAUCUGUCCGUCUGCUGUCUGUCUGUCAUUCUGUCUGGCCUGUGUGUCUGUCUGUGUCUGUUUGUCGGGUCUGUCGAUCUGGUCGGUGUCUGUCUGUCUGUCUGUCUGUCUGUCUGUCUGUCUGUCUGUCUGUCUGUCUGUCUGUCUGUCUGUCUGUCUGUCUGUCUGUCUGUCUGUCUGUCUGUCUCUCUUAACAGUUAAUUUCUGAGAUAUUAAUCUCCAAGGAUCUGACCCUAAUUAGUUUGAAGGAAAUGAAAGAGCAAACCUAAAGUACUGCACAACUCAACAGCACUACUUUAUUGAAAUGUGGGUUGUUCUAAUCUACUCAAAUGCACCUUUUUCUGGGUCACACAGAAGACUCAGAUCAGUAUAGUAUCCCGUAUUAGAACCACAAAUUCUAGGUCCAUUUAUUUUGAAACAGUCAGGUAGAAAACAGGAUAUAUAAAAGAGGCAGAUAUAUCCGUUUAAAGAUAAACAAAAUGGUUGCUCUCACCCAAAAUACAAAAAGUACAGAGAGACAGUAAAGCACGAAGCCCACUCUGGAUGUUCAGGGAUAAAAACUCAAGAGUGGUCGUCCCUGAGGAAACUGAGCAAAGCUAUGGUUUCUACCCUGUCACAACCCUGUCAAUUGGACUUGCUCAACUCUUGCAUCCUCCAUCUGCUGCGUCCUCUCUCCUCCGUCCUCUCUCUCUCUCUCUCUCUCAUCUCCUUUUGAAAAAGGUCAAAGGUAAUCGAGGAGAGACCGCGAGGAAAGGGAAAGUGGACAAAGAAAAUGCGCUUGCAGGAAAAGAGACUCCUUCUUCACUCGCGGGUCAUUAGGCUAAUGAGGUUUACAGGGGUGGAUCCCAUAAUAAACGUGGAAAGGGAUAACAUUAAAUUAGUUGUUCCAGACAUUUUAUAGAUAAAUGAUAAGUAGUGUUUUUAAGCAGGUUCAUUUUUUCUCUCUCGCUUCUGACAAAACAAAAGCUGAUCCAAAGGAGGUAAGGAAUUGACAUCUCCUCGAACACUGAUCUGUUUCCCGGGCAGGGAGGAAACAAGACAGGCUGUUGCCCAAAUGAGAAAAGGCCUCUGCCCUAGACUCUUGUAGGAUUACAUUGUAUUUAUGUAACAGUUUAGCAUCCGUCCCUCUCCUCGCCCCUACCUGGGCUCGAACCAGGGACCCUCUGCACACAUCGACGACAGCCACCCUCGAAGCAUCGUUACCCAUCGCUCCACAAAAGCCGAGGCCCUUGCAGAGCAAGGAGAACAACUACUUCAAGGUCUCAGAGCGAGUGACGUCACCCGAUUGAAACGCUAUUAGCGCGCAUCACCGCUAACUAGCUAGCCAUUUCACAUCGGUUACAUUUAGAAUUGCAGAACAUUAUGAGGAAAGCCUUUACAUGGAUAGUCCCAACUAGAUGUUCUGUAGAUGUUCC
rnacentral:lncRNA from 1 species